rnacentral:rRNA from 1 species
UACGUAGGGGGCGAGCGUUGUCCGGAGUUACUGGGCGUAAAGCGCUUGUAGGCAGUCCACCAAGUUUGGGGUGACAGUUGCCGACUUAAUCGGCAAAGUGCCUCAAAGACUGGCGGACUUGAGGGCCACAGAGGGACAUGGAACUCCAGGUGUAGUGGUGAAAUGCGUAGAUAUCUGGAAGAACACCAAAGGCGAAGGCAGUGUCCUGGGUGGUCGCUGACGCUGAGAGGCGAAAGCCAGGGGAGCGAACGGG